AAAGGGUGGUAUGCAUCCUUAUCCUUCUCUCAACUGUUCUUUUGAAUUUCUUUUAUCCGCUAAAUGAGAUUUUCUAAUCUGAUACAAAAGACGUAAUGUGGUGAGCAUUCCCAAUGGCCCAUCUGUUCUUGCAGUAAAGGAAGCAGCCUGGGGUCUAGCUAGCUACGCUUCCAUUUCUCAGGUAAACAUAACAUAAAAUCAACUGCCGUCUGAUUUAUCAACUUUGGCAAAUACACAGGCGAGGGACAGUCAGAAGAAGCCAAGAAAGGAAGGUUUGUUAAGGGUUAUGUUUAUUAGGCCGUUAGAACCAGUGGGUAGAAGAAAUGAUGUUGAUGAGGAUAGUGAUCAUCAAGAAGGAAAAAUCAUUUUCUAUUCUUGUAGCCCAUGGAGACUCCUUUUGUUUAUAGCACGUUCAUGGUUUUGAGGAUGCGUGUGCAGAUUACCUUUGCAAUGUAAUUGUUACCUGGGAAUUCAUCUUGGCACCUAAAAAUUGCAAUGUUUGAAAUGUGCAGUUCUAAAUGUUUUUGGAAGUUUCUGUGGUACAACGAACGGGGAUGCAACUUUCAGUGAUGCUUGAAAAUGUAGUAGGUUUACCAGCUGAAAAGAAGGCAGAGACCUUCAAGAGGCUCAGGAAUACCUUGAUUAUUAGAAAUUAUACGAGGAGUUAUACUUCUACUAUUAAACAAUACCCACUACGAUGUGACUAAAAGUUCAGUCCAAUUUCCUAACAAGGAAAAGAUUUGCCUUUUCACCUCACAAUUUGGUAGUUAGAGGAGUCUGACCUAAACACAAAUACCCCAUAUUCUGAUUGAAUCCUGCAAUGUAACCUGACAUGCUUCUGAAAGAUCUUUUACACUAUAUAUCUAAUCCCUAAGUUGGUUCUGGUAUAUUGUCGGGAGGCACCGGAAAUUAUUACUUGAAAAGGAAUUUUGAUCAUAAAGAUUAUAUUGACAGGUACAAGUUAACCCUAGAAGUGUCAACAUUCAUUCUGAUUGAAAUCAUUAACAUGACCUAAACAGUGUACUCUUGAAAUCUAAUCAAAUUCCUUUAUUUAGGAAAUAACAGACAAGUGCCACAAACAAAACCUGAGCAGUCUACUACACAAGUCUGCUUGAAUUCCUUCAUAGAUGAGCUACUUAACAUCUGUUGAGAAGAUAAUACAUGAGAUCAAGGUUAGUUUAUUGACCAAUUCACAUCUUUAUGCAUCUCUGCUCUAAACUGGAUCAUAUGUAACUCCUACCGCUAGCAUGGCACUCGGACAGCCAUAAGUCUAUUUGUUCAAUGACCUGCUGCCUUACUUUGUGAA
rnacentral:misc_RNA from 1 species